rnacentral:ribozyme from 1 species
UGCCCAACAACUCCUAUCCCUACCUCCUCGUGGUACCGGCCGGAAACUAUGAGCAACCUUAGGGAAGA